rnacentral:rRNA from 1 species
GACGAACGCUGGCGGCGUGCCUAAUACAUGCAAGUCGAACGCAGUGGGGACGGGUGAGUAAAACGUGGGUAACCUCCCAUCAGAGGAGAGAACACUUGGAAACAGGUGCUAAACCGAUACUGUUGGAUGAACCCGCGGUGCAUUAGCGAGUGGGUGAGGUAACGGCUCACCAGGGCCACGAUGCUUAGCCGCCCUUAGAGGGUGAUCGGCCACACUUGUACUGAGACACGGCCCAGACUCCUACGGGAGGCAGCAGUAGGGAAUCUGCGGCAAUGGACGAAAGUCUGACCGAGCAACGCCGCGUGAGUGAAGAAGGUUUUCGGAUCGUAAAACUCUGUUGUUAGAGAAGCGGUAUCUAACCAGAAAGCCACGGCUAACUACGUGCCAGCAGCCGCGGUAAUUC